GAUGGAAAAUACGUUUCAAGACGUCAGACAAUUUGCAGUAUGUAAUAUUGGACUGAAAAGAAAGCUGAAGAUUCUGGAUUUUAUGAAAAGAUUUGGAAAAGUCUCCCUGUCUUUUUCAAUAGGUGGAUUUUUUGUUGUAGAUAAGAGAAUUGUUUUCAAGAUGGCAAGUACACUACAUUCCAUUUUUUCCGGCUUAUUUAAACUGAAAACAGUUUCGAACAAGAGACAAAACUGUGAACACAUUUAUGAAUUCAAUCACACGAACACAAAUUAAACCUUGAAUAAUUUGCUUCUGGCAUAUUCUGUUUGCCAAAAGACUGAAUUUGAAUGCCAAUUUCUGCAGUUUCUGUAAACGGAAUAUGAUGGCAAAGUAUUGAGUAAAACUUCUCCAAAGCACCACACGACCAUUAAACAUGUGUUUUGCAAAUAUGUACUGUACAACUUCGCAAAAUUCAUAUGUAAUCAAUGUUAUA